rnacentral:rRNA from 1 species
AACAUGGCUCAGGAUGAACGCUGGCGGCGUGCUUAACACAUGCAAGUCGAACGAUGAUGGGAGCUUGCUCCUGGAUUAGUGGCGAACGGGUGAGUAACACGUGAGUAACCUGCCCUUAACUCUGGGAUAAGCCUGGGAAACUGGGUCUAAUACCGGAUAUGACUCCUCAUCGCAUGGUGGGGGGUGGAAAGCUUUAUUGUGGUUUUGGAUGGACUCGCGGCCUAUCAGCUUGUUGGUGAGGUAAUGGCUUACCAAGGCGACGACGGGUAGCCGGCCUGAGAGGGUGACCGGCCACACUGGGACUGAGACACGGCCCAGACUCCUACGGGAGGCAGCAGUGGGGAAUAUUGCACAAUGGGCGCAAGCCUGAUGCAGCGACGCCGCGUGAGGGAUGACGGCCUUCGGGUUGUAAACCUCUUUCAGUAGGGAAGAAGCGAAAGUGACGGUACCUGCAGAAGAAGCGCCGGCUAACUACGUGCCAGCAGCCGCGGUAAUACGUAGGGCGCAAGCGUUAUCCGGAAUUAUUGGGCGUAAAGAGCUCGUAGGCGGUUUGUCGCGUCUGCCGUGAAAGUCCGGGGCUCAACUCCGGAUCUGCGGUGGGUACGGGCAGACUAGAGUGAUGUAGGGGAGACUGGAAUUCCUGGUGUAGCGGUGAAAUGCGCAGAUAUCAGGAGGAACACCGAUGGCGAAGGCAGGUCUCUGGGCAUUAACUGACGC